rnacentral:lncRNA from 1 species
GAUUUACCACAACACGAGAGUAAAAGAGCGAGACAAUACAUUUGAAAUAAGCAGCUCUGGAUCGAGAGACAACAACGGGAGUCUCUGGUUGUAUAAGAAGGUCUUACAUGAAGGAGCGUAGAGUGGAACUGAGCAAAGGAUGACUUGCCAACUUUUUGCAGUCUCUAGAAACAAAAUGGCUUCAGAGCAAAUUCUUGUUCAGGUCUUGUUGUAACUAAACUUUCAUUCAUUAAAUGACAUUUACAAUUUAGCAAAAAAAAAAGGAUGACUUGCUGAUUUAAACAGAACCGGUGUAUGACUAUUGAUUUGGUCACAUACUUAAUCCGUUGUUGAUUUGUGUCCGCAAGUUGACCUUAGCUCUGUUUCGUUCUCUAUUUCUCCAUGUUAGAUUCCAUAUAAACGCAUCCAUACUCAUUUCUAUAUAAACGCAUACUCAUUUAGUCAUAUACAAAUAUUAUAUAGUUGGUCAUAAGAAUGGAAGUGGCCGAUCGUAUGAAACUUAUAAUCUAAUAACGUCACUUUAUAAAAUAGCAUAUUUGUCCUUUUUUCUUAACUAUCCUUCAGUUACUCAUCAAGAAAGAAGAAGGAAAUUCGAAUAAUGAAUGGGUGUAACUGGUAAACAUAUAUGGAAUUUGUGAAAUUUAAAAUAAAUGGAAUGGUAGAAAUGGAAUACAUCAAAAAAUGGAAUGGAAUUCAUUCCAUUCUUUCAUGAUCAAAUUUGUUAUGGAAUGAUUCUCUUUGUAUUUUCUCUAUUUAUUUUUGGAAUUGAUGGAAUGAGUAUUCCAUUCCAUUCAUGUCAAAUGGUAAAUUUUUUUAUAGAAUUAAUGGAAUAGGCCAUUCCACAUCAUUCCAUUCCAAAUAUGUACACAUCAUUCCAUUCCACAUCCACUAUUUUUCUUAGUGAAAUUAGUUCAACAGUUGUGGUUUUAACAUUAUAAUAAGUGUACUGCUAACAAAGGUUUGAUAUUCGUAUGAUGCUUGGAUGCGACGUGUGGAUAAUGCUUUGUCUAUACUACAGAUUUGAUGCCAUAACUGGUGCUCGGAAUUCAACAGUACUCACAUUUCAACAAUUUUAGAUUCUAUGCGGUCUGUCUUUUAGGCUGGUCAAAAUUCUUUUGGUCGCGCCAAACAAUACGUCCAAUCUCUACAU